AGGGUUCGAUUCUGGCUCAGGAUGAACGCUGGCGGCGUGCUUAACACAUGCAAGUCGAACGGAGUUUUUAACGGAAGUUUCAGAUGGAAGUUUAGAAACUUAGUGGCGGACGGGUGAGUAACGCGUGGGUAACCUGCCUCAUACAGGGGGAUAACAGUUAGAAAUGACUGCUAACACCGCAUAAUAUAGCGAAACCGCAUGAUUUUUGCUAUCAAAUAUUUAUAGGUAUGAGAUGGGCCCGCGUCUGAUUAGCUAGUUGGUGGGGUAAAAGCCUACCAAGGCGACGAUCAGUAGCCGGCUUGAGAGAGUGACCGGCCACAUUGGGACUGAGACACGGCCCAAACUCCUACGGGAGGCAGCAGUGGGGAAUAUUGGACAAUGGGGGAAACCCUGAUCCAGCGAACCGCCGCGUGAGUGAAGAAGUAUUUCGGUAUGUAAAGCUCUAUCAGCAGGGAAGAUAAUGACAGUACCUGACUAAGAAGCCCCGGCUAACUACGUGCCAGCCGCAGC
rnacentral:rRNA from 1 species